rnacentral:rRNA from 1 species
CCUACGGGAGGCAGCAGUGGGGAAUAUUGCACAAUGGGGGAAACCCUGAUGCAGCGACGCCGCGUGAGUGAAGAAGGAAUUCGGUAUGUAAAGCUCUAUCAGCAGGGAAGAAAAUGACGGUACCUGAGUAAGAAGCCCCGGCUAACUACGUGCCAGCAGCCGCGGUAAUACGUAGGGGGCAAGCGUUAUCCGGAUUUACUGGGUGUAAAGGGAGCGUAGACGGCAGUGCAAGUCUGGCGUGAAAGGCGGGGGCUCAACCCCCGGAGUGCUCUGGAAACUGUACGGCUGGAGUGCAGGAGAGGUAAGUGGAAUUCCUGGUGUAGCGGUGAAAUGCGUAGAUAUUAGGAGGAACACCAGUGGCGAAGGCGGCUUACUGGACUGUAACUGACGUUGAGGCUCGAAAGCGUGGGGAGCAAACAGGAUUAGAUACCCUUGUAGUC